rnacentral:rRNA from 1 species
AACGAACGCUGGCGGCAAGCCUAACACAUGCAAGUCGAACGAGACCUUCGGGUCUAGUGGCGCACGGGUGCGUAACGCGUGGGAACCUGCCCUUAGGUUCGGAAUAACUCCCCGAAAGGGGUGCUAAUACCGGAUAAUGUCUUCGGACCAAAGAUUUAUCGCCUUUGGAUGGGCCCGCGUUGGAUUAGCUAGUUGGUAGGGUAAAAGCCUACCAAGGCGACGAUCCAUAGCUGGUCUGAGAGGAUGAUCAGCCACACUGGGACUGAGACACGGCUCAGACUCCUACGCGAGGAAGCAGUGGGGAAUAUUGGACGAUGGGAGAAAGUCUGAUCAAGCCAUGCCGCGUGAGUGAUGAAGGCCUUAGGGUUGUAAAGCUCUUUUACCCGGGAUGAUAAUGACAGUACCGGGAGAAUAAGCUCCGGCUAACUCCGUG